rnacentral:rRNA from 1 species
AGUGAACGCUGGCGGCGUGCCUAAUACAUGCAAGUCGAACGGAGAUUCAGUAGCUUGCUAUUUAAUCUUAGUGGCGCACGGGUGAGUAAUAUAUAGCUAACUUGCCCAUUACUAAGGGACAACAGUUGGAAACGACUGCUAAUACCUUAUACUCCGUAUCUAUAUAAGUAGAUACGGGAAAGUUUUUCGGUAAUGGAUAGGGCUAUAUCGUAUCAGCUAGUUGGUAAGGUAAUGGCUUACCAAGGCUAUGACGCGUAACUGGUCUGAGAGGAUGAUCAGUCACACUGGAGCUGAGACACGGUCCAGACUCCUACGGGAGGCAGCAGUAGGGAAUAUUGCUCAAUGGGGGAAACCCUGAAGCAGCAACGCCGCGUGGAGGAUGACACUUUUCGGAGCGUAAACUCCUUUUCUUGGGAAAGAAUUAUGACGGUACCCAAGGAAUAAGCACCGGCUAACUCCGUG